rnacentral:snRNA from 1 species
GUGUUCACUUCAGUGGCAUGUAUAUGAAAAAUUGGAAUAAUCAAAAGAUUAACACGGCCCUGCCCAAGAAUAACAUGCAAAUUCAUGAAGUACCAUAUUUUU